UGACGAAACAUUAUGAUCACU
ensembl:piRNA 21ur-4750 ncRNA